GACGAACGCUGGCGGCGCGCCUAACACAUGCAAGUCGAACGGAGUUAGUUUCAGCAGAAGCUUUCGGGUGGACGCAGGGAUAACUUAGUGGCGAACGGGUGAGUAACACGUGAGGAACCUGCCCUGGAGUGGGGGAUAACAGUUAGAAAUGACUGCUAAUACCGCAUAAGACCACAGCACCGCAUGGUGCAGGGGUAAAAACUCCGGUGGUAUGAGAUGGACCCGCGUCUGAUUAGCUAGUUGGUAAGGUAACGGCUUACCAAGGCAACGAUCAGUAGCCGACCUGAGAGGGUGACCGGCCACAUUGGGACUGAGACACGGCCCAA
rnacentral:rRNA from 1 species